rnacentral:tRNA from 1 species
UGUCUUUAGGUGUGAGGCACGAGAAAAUUUGAAUUUCUAGGUUCUUCUUACUUGAAGAAGAGACAG